GACAGAGGUGCCGAGCGUUAGGCGGAAUCACUGGGCUUAAAGCGUGUGUAGGCGGAUCGUUAAGUACCUUGUGAAAUCCCACGGCUUAACCGUAGAACUGCUUGGUAUACUGGCGAUCUUGAGCCACCUAGGGGCAACCGGAACAAAUGGUGGAGCGGUGAAAUGCGUAGAUAUCAUUUGGAACGCCAAUGGUGAAAACAGGUUGCUGGGGGUGUGCUGACGCUGAGACACGAAAGCCAGGGGAGCGAACGGG
rnacentral:rRNA from 1 species